rnacentral:tRNA from 1 species
UUAGCUCAGUUGGUUAGAGCACCUGACUGUUAAUCAGGGGGUCGUAGGUUCAAGUCCUACA